CUCCAAUUAAAAUAAAUUAAAAAAACUUGAUAGAAAAGUUGCAAAGGUUGAACAGAAAGUUCCCAUGUGCUCCCACCCAGUCUCCACCAUCAUUAGCAUAUCACUCUGUGAGUUUGUCAAAGCUAAGAAACCAACAUUGAUAUGUUACUGUUACUUACAAUACAGGUUUUAUUUGAAUUUCAGUAUUUUUCCAUUACUCUAAUCCAGGGUGCUACAUUACACUUCCACUUGUUUCUCAUAUAUCUCCAGUCUCCUCUGGUCUGACAGGUUGUCUUUCUUUCCUUGCCUUUGAUGACUUAAGAGGAGUACUGGCUGGGUAUCCUUUAGAAUGUCCCUCAUUCUGAGUUUGUCUGGUUUUUCUUGUGAUUGGACUGAGUUUUUGAGUUUCAGAGCAGAUACCACAGAAGAAAAGUGCCCUUCUUACAGAAAUUGCCUGAAAUCACCAUCGUAGUUCAGUUUUUUCCCCUUAAUCUACUCCAUUCUUUGUCAGCAAGUCACUAAGUGUAGCUCACCUUCAGAGUAGGGAUGGGGAGAAUUAAAUUCCACCCCUCUGUGGGAAAAGGCUGUCUACGCAUAUUUGAAUUCACUUGUAGAUUUGUCGCCUAUUUAUUUACACUUGUAUGGACUUCUGCAUAUUUAUUCUUUAAGUCAUAGUUGAAUGCUGUGUUAUUUUCUGCUCAAACUUCCAACUUUGGCCAUUGAGCGUCUUUUUCAGAUUGACUCUUAACCUUUGACUUGCCUCCAUUCUCUGGUAGAUGAUGGAGAAAGGGAAGGAAGGAAGAAUUGUUGGAGAGGGAGGUUUAUCAUCAGGUAGUUGAAGGAAUAAAAUCUAGACCUUGGUGAUGGUGAUAGCUUUGACCUUAAGGAGGAACCUUGACAGUUAAAUAUAAUAUCAGUAAGAAUGAAUUCAGGUGGCAUUAGAGCCAACACAGUUUUUUUUUUUCCCAGCCACAUUGAACCACACGGAUGCUUACAAGAGGGUGUUGUAGCAUUGCACAUGGUUAAAAGAUGAACAUGUGAUAACUAAUAGUUUGCAAAUGCUUGUAUUUAGCAAAGUAAACAUACUAGCAUAAGAAAAUAACAAUAACUGGUAAAUUAUACAUAAGUGAAUGAUUAAAAUAUACCUAAGAAGAAUGAUGGUAUAUACAUUAUUCAACUGAAUAAGACCUGGAUUUGAAGCCAAAAUGUAUGUAGGACAACCCCUUUCACAUAAUCUCAAUCUAGUGGGGAAAUAGUCUUACUUAUAGAAGCAAUAAAGUCUCUGCUAAAGUGGGGAGAAAAUCAGUCUUGUCUGAAUGAAGAGGCAAACUCUUAAGGAAUUGACUUGAGCAGUCUUGAAGGACAGGUUUGCUGAUGAAUAAGGUGAGCUAAUUUGUGGAGCCUCAAGGUUUGGUUGUGUUCUAGGAGAUCCAAAAUACUUUGGUAGUUUAAAACCUUAGAAAAAGAAGGGACCGAGUAAUAAUGCUGUCAGAAAUAAACUGCACCACAUUGAAAAGUGCCUAAAAACAGUGAUAAUUAAAGACCUUAAUCAGGCAGUCAGAACAAAGAGUUUUGUACCUACCCACAAACUGAAACAUCUGUGACCUGUUCUCUGUGCCAUUAUCAGAGACUAAGUACCUCUGGCGCGAAUGUAAUAUGAAGUGAAUGGGUGUGAUCCCAGUGGUGGAUUUGGCAAUGAUAGUUCAUUUCUGUCUGUACUCUUUCCCUGGAAUCAGAGAGCCAGAUUUGAAUUUUUACUUCAUGGAAGCUGUAUGACAUUGGACAUUUUUAUGACUAGUGUAUGAGUAUACAACAAUUAACUGAAUAUUACUCCGUACCCGUGGCCUCAGAUAUUUUGUAUGGUAAUACUAAAGUGUUCCUACUCACCCCUUUCUAUAGCACCAGAUCCAUUAAACUGCAUACUAUAUGCCUUCUUUUUAAAUGUCAAACGGUUUCAACAUAUCUAAUUUCUACCCAUGCAAUCUGUCCAUCAAAACUAGUAUAUUUCACAUUGAUAAACAACAUUAUCAGUAAGGUAGGGUGGAGAGUCCUCUUAGAUUUCUCUUUUGCCUUCCCACCUCCAAUAAAUCUGAUUUAACUUUGAAUCAGAGAAGGCAGUGGCAGCCCACUCCAGGACUCUUUCCUGGAAAAUCCCAUGGAUGGGGAAGCCUGGUGGGCUGCCGUCUAUGGGGUCGCACAGAGUCGUACUCGGAUGAAGCGACUUAGCAGCAGUAGCAGCGGCAGGCUGACAUGGCGUAUGCAGACGGUAAAGAAUCCACCUUCAAUGCAGGAGACCUGGGCUUGAUCACUGGGUUGGGAAGAUCAUCUGGAGAAGGGAAUGAAAAUCCACUCCCAGUAUUCUUGCUUGGAGAAUCCCAUGGACAGAGGAGCCUGGCAAGCUACAGUCCUUGGGAUUCCAAAGAGUUGGGCACAACUGAGCGACCAGCACUCACUCACUACCUCUCUUACAUAUAGUAGAGGUCUUCCACAGUCUGCUAAAUGAUAUUUAACCAAGUAGUUAUCCUUUCAGUACUCAGAGUGGUUUUUAGCUGUUUAUGUUCAUAUAAUUUCCUUGUUUAAAAAUUUUCCUAUGGUUCUCAGGGUUAAACUAAAAUCCUGUGACUACCACACCUUCCCUUUCCCCUGCCAGUUCCAGCAAACUGGGCACAAAGCCUAUAUAGCUAUCCCCAUGAGCUAUGCUGAGUACUUGUGAUAAAUUUCCAUCUAUGUGCAAGUUUCCUAUGCCCUGUACACAUCUCAUUACCAUCCCUUUUUCACUUGAUCUUCAUGACUCAAUUCAAAACACUCAGAUGCUCUCCAUGAUUCCUGAGUUUCCAUAGUUCAGGUGAAUUUCUUGAAAGUCUUUUACCUAGUAUUUCUAGCUCUUUCAGCAUUCUAUAGCUAGCACCCAGUGUUUGACAAGGGAAUAAAUAUAAAUAUCUCAUGUUUCUUAAAGAGUUUAGUCAGCUUUUUCCUCCAAUACUUAUUGAAGGAAAUGCUUAUUCUUUACUGGAAAACAUUUGGUUGCAGGAGUUUUCUUUCUGAAGUUAUGAUAGCCAGUUGCCAAACUGGACUUUUUUUUUUUUUUCCAGUUUAAUAGUUCCAUUUCAUCACAAGCUAAAAAGGUUUGCAUUUACUCAUCCAGCUGUAUGUUUCAGUGUAGUAUAGAAUCUGUAGAAAUUGCAUGUAAACACUGUUGCCUUCAGUGUAUGCCAACAUAAAAGGGUUAAGUCACUCAGUUGGCUCCAACUCUUUGCAACCCCAUGGAUUGUAGCCUGCCAGGCUCCUUUGUCCGUGAAACUCUCCAGGCAAGAAUACUGGAGUGGGUGGCCAUUUCCUUCUCCAGAGGAACUUCCCAACCCAGGGUUUGAACCCAGGUCUCCUGCCUUACAGGCAGAUUCUUUACCAUCUAAGCCAGCAGAAAGCCCGGUAAAACACCAACUUCGGUUUAUUGUAAACGGCUAAGAGAAGAUUUCCAUGGGGUUGUAAAGAGUUGGACACGACUGAGCAACUGAACUGAACUGAAGAGAAGAUUGGAAACCAAGCCUUACUGGGACAUGUUUUGAAAUUUGUUUAGUUUCUUUUUAUAUUCCCAAGGACAAGCACAGAAUUACUCUGAUCCUGGGAUGGCAGAGCCUGGUGGGCUGCCGUCUGUGGGGUUGCAUAGAGUCGGACACAACUGAAGCAACUUAGCAGCAGCAGCAAGAGAAUUUUAACUCUCAUACAGACUCAAAACAACAGCAUAGAAAGAAUGCAAGGGAAUAUACUCCAUUCUCAUAUCCUACCACUGUUUUACAUCCAAUAAGGAGAUCACCUAUGCUGGAAAAGACAAACUGAACUGACCCAGUCUUGCUCUGAAAGUCUGAGUAAUGGUCUUCAUAGGGCUGAGUAAAUGGGCUUCCCAACUGGCUCAGCGGUAAAGAAUCCGCCUGUGAUACAGAAAAUGCAGGAGAUGCCACGGGGUCCAUCCCUGGAACAGGAAGCUCCCCUGGAGGAGGGCAUGGCAACCCGCUGCAGUAUUCUUGCCUGGAGAAUCCCAUGGACUGAGGAGCCUCACAGGUUACAGCGCAUAGGGUCGCACAGAGUCGGACACGAUGGAAACGACUGAGCUGAAUGAUUAGGUCUAAUUUCUUAAAUAUGAGGAAAAAUGAAGUUCAAAAAUAAUUUUUAAAAUCUUUCCAUUUCCCCGACAAGAUGAAAAGGCAGAAAAACUAGACUCUCCCUAGAUUUGAGAACUGCUGGUCUUAUCACCUGUUGAGAGUGGUUAUGGUAUCUAUGUAAAGAAUACUGUGCUUCAGAUAAGAAGUUGGAGACUGGAGAAUUGCUGAAAGACUUGGGCACAUCCUUUAACUUCAGGAGCCUCAGUUACCUCACCUUAAAGGGGGAGUAAUAACAAUACUUGGAGGAUGUCUGGAAAAAAAUGGGGAAAUGGUUGUGAAACAUAAAAU
ensembl:lncRNA